rnacentral:rRNA from 1 species
CCUACGGGAGGCAGCAGUGGGGAAUAUUGGGCAAUGGGCGCAAGCCUGACCCAGCAAUGCCGCGUGAAGGAAGAAGGCUUUCGGGUUGUAAACUUCUUUGACAGGGGAAGAGCAGAAGACGGUACCCUGAAAACAAGCCACGGCUAACUACGUGACAGCAGCCGCGGUAAUGCGUAGGUGGCAAGCGUUGUCCGGAUUUACUGGGUGUAAAGGGCGUGUAGCCGGGAGGGCAAGUCAGAAGUGAAAGCUGGAGGCUCAACCUCCAAAUUGCAUUUGAAACUGUUUUUCUGGAGUACUGGAGAGGCAGACGGAAUUCCUUGUGUAGCGGUGAAAUGCGUAGAUAUAAGGAGGAACACCAGUGGCGAAGGCGGUCUGCUGGACAGCAACUGACGGUGAGGCGCGAAAGCGUGGGGAGCAAACAGGAUUAGAUACCCUUGUAGUC